UUCGAACGGGGAGAUUCAAUUGCCUCGCCGGUUAUGNCCAUUUAACAGUGAUGUGUUUAUGAUAUAUAUUUGAGACAUUAUAUGGCGGUUGCGGGUUUAUUCUCGUAGCUGUUUCUGUAUAGUGCUCCACUGUUUUAUGAUAUAUAGUUUAUAGCCGGAGGCGUGCACUUCUCCCCUUGUAGGACGUCGUGACCCAUUGGAUUAUGUUGUCUAAGGCUUAUAAUGGAGACCGUGGCAUUAAGUUUCGGCUUUAAUGACCCGGACUUAUAAUGUCCCGACAUCUAUCCGAUGGUAUAAUUAUGAUGAUAGAUCGCUAUAAAUGUGAUAUGAGCGUUCAGAUCCAUAACAAAUUCUUUAUAUGAUUGAUAAUAGUGGAAAUCGGAUUUAAUGCCGAUUCUACACAUAUGGUAUUGAUAGUUGUGGUAUUCUCGAACCGUUCUUUAUCAUCAGUCAACGGCGUUUAUGUUUUGGGUAAUUACAGGACCCGUCUUGAAACACGGACCAAKGAGUSUAGCAUGKKCGCAARUCAYUGGGWCUU
rnacentral:rRNA from 1 species